rnacentral:rRNA from 1 species
GACGAACGCUGGCGGCGUGCCUAAUACAUGCAAGUCGAACGCAGUGGGGACGGGUGAGUAACACGUGGGUAACCUCCCAUCAGAGGGGAUAACACUUGGAAACAGGUGCUAAACCGAUACUGAUGGAUGGACCCGCGGUGCAUUAGCUAGUUGGUGAGGUAACGGCUCACCAAGGCCACGAUGCAUAGCCGACCGGGGAGGUGGUUCGGCCAAAUUGGGACUGAGACACGGCCCAAACUCCUACGGGAGGCAGCAUUAGGGAAUCUUCGGCAAUGGACGCAAGUCUGACCGGGCAACGCCGCGGGAGUGAAGAAGGUUUUCGGAUCGUAAAACUCUGUUGUUAGAGAAGCGGUAUCUAACCAGAAAGCCACGGCUAACUACGUGCCAGCAGCCGCGGUAAUUC